UAGUGGGGCAGGAGAAGGUCUUCCUGGGCAGGUCACAUGGUCAGGAGAAACUGUAGUGGGGCAGGAGGUCUUCCUGGGCAGGUCACAUGGUCAGGAGAAACUGUAGUGGGGCAGGAGGUCUUCCUGGGCAGGUCACAUGGUCAGGAGAAACUGUAGUGGAGCAGGAGGUCUUCCUGGGCAGGUCACAUGGUCAGGAGAAACUGUAGUGGGGCAGGAGAAUGUCUUCCUGGGCAGGUCACAUGGUCAGGAGAAACUGUAGUGGGGCAGGAGGUCUUCCUGGGCAGGUCACAUGGUCAGGAGAAACUGUAGUGGAGCAGGAGGUCUUCCUGGGCAGGUCACAUGGUCAGGAGAAACUGUAGUGGGGCAGGAGAAUGUCUUCCUGGGCAGGUCACAUGGUCAGGAGAAACUGUAGUGGGGCAGGAGGUCUUCCUGGGCAGGUCACAUGGUCAGGAGAAACUGUAGUGGAGCAGGAGGUCUUCCUGGGCAGGUCACAUGGUCAGGAGAAACUGUAGUGGGGCUUUGGAGCUUUUUCCCAGUAUGUUGUCUAAACUGUGAGGACCACAUAUGAUGCAGAAAAGCAUCAUG